rnacentral:lncRNA from 1 species
UCCCCAAACACAGCGAGUCACUGGCCUGGGUCUUUUGUGCAGAGGCCCCUCUAGGAGCGGGGAACCAACGAUGGCACGAACAUUGAUUUGAGGAGGAUGCUUCGCAGUUUACGAAACAAUGAGCGCUAGAGGCGUUCAGAAACGGGAAAGAUCACUUUGUGCUCCUGUGAUCUGAAGGCUGCGUGAAAAAGAUGAGGCUUGGAAAAUGGGUGAUUCUCACAAGAAGGCUUCAAUAAUCUCCAUGUUAGAGAUGAAGAGACUCAACUGAAAGUUACUUAAGGCCAAUGGGGACCGUGUGUAGCCAUAUAUCCAGUGUCCCAAGCACUGUGUCUGGCACAUUAGUCAACGUGUUUCAUAGGUUCUGUCAGGUGAACUGUUGUGCUGUAUUUCUGACCUGAAUUGCCUUUUAGGAGGGAAUCAGUACUUGGAAGCUGGAAUACAUCAGGGAUACCCCUAAAAAGAGAGACUAUUUUUUCCAUUGGAUUCUGACAUAAAUAAAUUUUGCCUACUUUGACAGUC